rnacentral:tRNA from 1 species
GGGGAUAUGGCGAAAUUGGUAGACGCUACAGACUUAAAAUCUGUUGGUUCUUUGAACCGUGAGGGUUCAAGUCCCUCUUUCCCCA